rnacentral:rRNA from 1 species
GACGAACGCUGGCGGCACGCUUAACACAUGCAAGUCGGACGGGAUAGUUUACUAUUUAGUGGCGUACGGGUGAGUAACGCGUAGGAACCUGCCUUUAAGUUUGGGACAACCACCGGAAACGGUGGCUAAUACCGGAUAAUCUCGGGAGAGGAAAGGGGCGACCCGCUUAGAGAGGGGCCUGCGUCUGAUUAGGUAGUUGGUUAGGUAAAGGCUGACCAAGCCGAUGAUCAGUAGCUGGUUUGAGAGGACGAACAGCCACACUGGGACUGAGACACGGCCCAGACUCCUACGGGAGGCAGCAGUGGGGAAUCUUGGACAAUGGGGGAAACCCUGAUCCAGCGAUGCCGCGUGAGUGAUGAAGGCCUUCGGGUUGUAAAGCUCUUUUAUCAGGGACGAUAAUGACGGUACCUGAGGAAUAAGCUCCGGCUAACUCCGUG